rfam:Triticum aestivum genome assembly, contig: Triticum_aestivum_CS42_TGACv1_scaffold_473067_6AL
CUCUUACUUCCUCCGUUCCAAAUUAUUCGUCAUAGAAAUGGAUGUAUUUAGGACUAAAAUACAUCUAGAUACAUCCAUACUUGCGACAAGUAAUUCAGAACGGAGGGAGUACAUC